UUGUCUACGUCUGUACCACAUGAUCUCAUGUGACCUCAAAAGCCAAGCAGGGUCGGGCCUGGACAGUAUUUGGAAGACAGAAACAAAGAUAUGCUACAAA
ensembl:rRNA 5S_rRNA 5S ribosomal RNA